CCUACGGGUGGCAGCAGUGAGGAAUAUUGGUCAAUGGGCGCGAGCCUGAACCAGCCAAGUAGCGUGAAGGAUGACUGCCCUACGGGUUGUAAACUUCUGUUCUUAGUGAAGAAUAAUGACGGUAGCUAAGGAGCAAGCCACGGCUAACUACGUGCCAGCAGCCGCGGUAAUACGUAGGUGGCAAGCGUUGUCCGGAAUUACUGGGUGUAAAGGGAGCGCAGGCGGGAAGCCAAGUCAGCUGUGAAAACUACGGGCUUAACUUGUAGACUGCAGUUGAAACUGGUUUUCUUGAGUGAAGUAGAGGUUGGCGGAAUUCCGAGUGUAGCGGUGAAAUGCGUAGAUAUUCGGAGGAACACCGGUGGCGAAGGCGGCCAACUGGGCUUUAACUGACGCUGAGGCUCGAAAGUGUGGGGAGCAAACAGGAUUAGAUACCCCUGUAGUC
rnacentral:rRNA from 1 species